UGGGCUCACGACACUCGUAGCUCACUUUCUCACUUUUCGAACCCUAAGCAGUAGCCCUAGGGUACACACAGAAAAUCCUAUGCCCACUCUCUUUCUUUUCUUUCCUCUCGAAAUUUUUGAACUUUUCAAAUUCACACAGAAAGCUUCCUCACACCUACUUUUUUUUUUCUGAAAUCUUGUUUGCAUGCCCCACCUUCUUAUCUUUUUUUAAAAUAAUGCAAGAUGC
rnacentral:lncRNA from 1 species